rnacentral:lncRNA from 1 species
AAGUCCAAAUGACUUUUCUACAGAGUUAUAUUGCCAGACAAAUGCUGAUCUAAGUUUAAAUUAAUUUUUGAAAAAAAAUAAUAUUUUCAAGAUAUUGUUGUUCAGUCAUGUCCAACUCUUCAUAACCCCAUUUACAGUUUUCUUGGCAAAGAUAUUGGAAUGGUUUGACAUUUUCUUCUCCAUCCUCAUUUUAGAAAUAAGGGUUAAGUGGCUUGCCCAGGGUCACCCAGCUGGUAAGUUUCUGAGCCUGGACUCCUGACUCCAAGGAUUUUACUCUAUUCACUGUGCCACUUUGCUACAAAAGAUGCAGUGUGACUUUUACAGCAAAGGGGGAAAGGAGGACUUAUCAAGUUGGUGAGACUCCCUAUCAGCUUGAUGUGAUUUGGAGCCCUGGAACUUUGUCAGAAAGGACAUCUUUGAUGGAUAUAUAAUCCCUACUUCCUUGAUGAGAGGACACAGGGAACCCCUCUGAAUGACACUCCAACCUCAGUGUGGAUCAGAGGCCCAUCUUCUGAAUGCCAAGAGACACGUGGGACAAGAAGCAAGCAUCUUCCAGGUGUCAGGGAGCCAUGAAACUUCUGGCUUCCACCCAGAGUGUGCAUGUGUCCGCUGUUGUGGAGUUUAUUAUGGGCAUGGAAGGAUAGUCUUUUGGGGUUUGGGAAGGAUGCCUUUUGCAAGCAUGCAAUGACUCCAAAACUUAGCUUAAAGACAAAAAGAGAUUUGUUAAUUUAGAAAGUAAUGUUGAAAGUGGCCAGGAGGAUAGCAAGGUAGAACAGCAAGGUGGGGAGCAGUUCCCUGGGAGGACAGCAUGAAAGGAAAGGCUGUUCCCCCAGAUGACAUCAGUUCUGGGGAUUUUAUGCAUUUUUCACAACAGUUAGUCACUCAGGCAUGAGGUGGGGUGAUCAUACUGGGGUCUGCCUAGAGACAUAAAGAUUCCUUAGUUUUAGGGGACAAACAGAUGUCUGAUAGGAUCGAGGUGUGGUCUGAAGGUGCAUCUUUCUGUCCAUCUAGAGGAUGAUCAAAGGAAGAUAGUCAUCUCAGGAUCCUAGAGGGGUCAUUGGGUGUUUUUAGUCUCAGAGUCAGGAAAAAAAACAAGGGAGUUCCCCUGAUAAUAGUUUGCCUAGGUUUCAGGGGUACAGUGCCCAUGUCAGGGUUCAGAGUAUGAACCCCUGGAGUUCAGGAAGGAUACCUUUCACAAGAAUGCAAGACCCCGAAACU